UACGUAGGGUGCAAGCGUUAAUCGGAAUUACUGGGCGUAAAGCGUGCGCAGGCGGUUAUGUAAGACAGUUGUGAAAUCCCCGGGCUCAACCUGGGAAUUGCAUCUGUGACUGCAUAGCUAGAGUACGGUAGAGGGGGGAUGGAAUUCCGCGUGUAGCAGUGAAAUGCGUAGAUAUGCGGAGGAACACCGAUGGCGAAGGCAAUCCCCCUGGACCUGUACUGACGCUCAUGCACGAAAGCGUGGGGGAGCAAACAGG
rnacentral:rRNA from 1 species